AGGGAUGUGGCUCAGUGGUAGAGUGCUUGCCUAGCAUGUAUGAGGCACUGGGUUUGAUUCUCAGCACCAUAA
rnacentral:tRNA from 1 species